UACGGAGGGUGCGAGCGUUGUCCGGAAUCAUUGGGCGUAAAGGGCGCGUAGGUGGCCCGGUCAGUCUUUGGUGAAAGCGCGGGGCUCAACCCUGCGUCGGCCAGGGAUACUGCCGCGGCUCGAGCACUGUAGAGGCAGGCGGAAUUCCGGGUGUAGCGGUGGAAUGCGUAGAGAUCCGGAAGAACACCGGUGGCGAAGGCGGCCUGCUGGGCAGUUUAGCAGACACUGAGGCGCGACAGCGUGGGGAGCAAACAGG
rnacentral:rRNA from 1 species